UAGAAGUGGCGGCAUGCUUUACACAUGCAAGUCGAACGGCAGCGCGGGGCAACCUGGCGGCGAGUGGCGAACGGGUGAGUAAUACAUCGGAACGUACCCAGAAGUGGGGGAUAACGUAGCGAAAGUUACGCUAAUACCGCAUACGUUCUACGGAAGAAAGUGGGGGAUCUUCGGACCUCAUGCUUUUGGAGCGGCCGAUGUCUGAUUAGCUAGUUGGUGAGGUAAAGGCUCACCAAGGCGACGAUCAGUAGCUGGUCUGAGAGGACGGCCAGCCACACUGGGACUGAGACACGGCCCAGACUCCUACGGGAGGCAGCAGUGGGGAAUUUUGGACAAUGGGCGCAAGCCUGAUCCAGCAAUGCCGCGUGAGUGAAGAAGGCCUUCGGGUUGUAAAGCUCUUUUGUCAGGGAAGAAACGGGGCUGGUUAAUACCUGGUCCUAAUGACGGUACCUGAAGAAUAAGCACCGGCUAACUACGUGCCAGCAGCCGCGGUAAUACGUAGGGUGCGAGCGUUAAUUCGGAAUUACUGGGGCGUAAAGCGUGCGCAGGCGGUUUUGUAAGUCUGACCGUGAAAUCCCCCGGGCUUUAACCCUGGGGAAUUUGCGUUUUGGAAGACCUGCAAAGGCU
rnacentral:rRNA from 1 species